GGCUUGGGAUCAAAAGAAAGGACAACUCCGGCAAUCUCCGUAAUCCUCUCUAAAAUGUAGCGAGCAACCCACAAUUCAUCUCCAGCAGAGAUACCAACUGCAGGUCCGACUUGAAAUUCCCACUGGCCUGGCAUCACUUCUCCAUUGAUACCACUAAUGUUGAUGCCAGCAUAUAGGCAAGCCUUGUAGUGUGAGUCAACAACGUCUCGCCCAAAGGACUUAUCAGCACCAAUACUACAGUAGUAUGGUCCCUGAGGGCCUGGGUAACCACCAACGGGCCAUCCAAUAGGCCAUUUAACAUCUUUCUGCAACAAGGUGUAUUCUUGCUCAAUGCCGUACC
rnacentral:misc_RNA from 1 species